GAAGGCUAUGUUGGACCGUUGACUAAAUCCGGCAUUAGCGUGGAUGAAAAGAUGAUGAAAACAUGUUUGAAAACAUGUUUGGAGAGUCUCGGUUCGAUUUGAAAAGAAACGGAGGUCAAACGAGUGAAAACGAGCGAAAACGGAGUGAAAAAGGAUAAAGGCUGAAAAUGCUGAAAAUUUGGCUAAGUCUGGAAUUCUGGCCUUUCGGGGAC
rnacentral:lncRNA from 1 species